CACUCCUGCGGGAGGCAGCAGUGGGGAAUUUUGGACAAUGGGCGCAAGCCUGAUCCAGCCAUGCCGCGUGCGGGAAGAAGGCCUUCGGGUUGUAAACCGCUUUUGUCAGGGAAGAAAAGGUUCUGGCUAAUACCUGGGACUCAUGACGGUACCUGAAGAAUAAGCACCGGCUAACUACGUGCCAGCAGCCGCGGUAAUACGUAGGGUGCAAGCGUUAAUCGGAAUUACUGGGCGUAAAGCGUGCGCAGGCGGUUAUGCAAGACAGAGGUGAAAUCCCCGGGCUCAACCUGGGAACUGCCUUUGUGACUGCAUGGCUAGAGUACGGUAGAGGGGGAUGGAAUUCCGCGUGUAGCAGUGAAAUGCGUAGAUAUGCGGAGGAACACCGAUGGCGAAGGCAAUCCCCUGGACCUGUACUGACGCUCAUGCACGAAAGCGUGGGGAGCAAACAGGAUUAGAUACCCUAGUAGUCCCAUG
rnacentral:rRNA from 1 species